rnacentral:misc_RNA from 1 species
UGUGUGUGUGUGUCAAGAGCGUUCACCAUGGGGGGUGAAGGUCGUCACCGUCUCUCUCCCGGCGACACGCGCAGUCGCGGCCAACGCGAGGCAGAUCUCUUCGCCCAUCGUCAGCCUUCCUGCGGCACGGGAGAGCACAGCGUGUGGUGUGACCUCAUCCUCGUGGAAGCGGGCUUCCGCCCGCUAGAGGCGAGGAAUGUAGUGCUGGUGAUCACCCGCAGCAAAGUCCUCCUCCGUGUGGUGGCGACAGGGUUCGCGUUGACAAUUCACCUGCAGGACAUCGUUCAAGUGCGUCACGUCGUGCCGGCUCGCGCUGUUGAGUUGCAUGUGGAGGUGCCAUUGGCGGCAUCGCCGGCGGAACACAACCACCCCGGGCCGGAGAAGUGGUGUACGGUGGCAAAGAACCGUCUUUACCGCGUUUAUCCAAAGGAAUGCGGUCGUUACAGUACCAGCGCGUGCGCGCAGCUGUUCCAGCUCAUCACCUCCCUCCUCCCGGCGCAUGUGCAGCAGGCGUCGGAGGAGAGCGACCUGGACGAUGCCGUUGCUUGGUACGAGCGGGUAGAUGCGUGCUCGAUGCUGCCAUAUCAUCUGUCUGAGGAGGUGGGGCUGCGUGAUCUGGAUAGCAUAUCUUACUCGCUGCCUCACCUCUCUUCCUCUGCGAGCGUGGCGAGGUUGGCGGCCUUCCACGCGGAAGCUCGGCAGCACCCGCCGACCCGGCGACAAGCACGAUCGGCGCUCUCCCUCGGAAGCUCCUGUAGAGGUUUCCGGGCACCUUCAGACUUUUUUGAUGACGCAGACAUGGCCAUGGCGCCCCAUUUGCGUCAAAUCUACGUAGUGCCGUCGCCGAGCUUCUGGCGACUCCCCAAGGCGUCGUCGCCAUCGACGCCAUCGCAUCUUCUCUCGCAUGAGAGAUGGACCCCGCCUCGCCUGCGCCACGACGUCUCUGCUGAGGCGGCCUCCCAAUCUGCAUCCUCCUCGACUUCAACAAUGCAGCGGCAGCACGCCUUAAGACGCACACCGGAGUCGCCCGGCACAUUUUUCGCUACGACCGCUCCUGCGUCGAGACAUCAGUUGCAUCAAAGUGAAAAAAGAAAUCAGCAGUCCGCGCACAGCUCGCCGGCCGUGGGCGUCGGCAUGAGCAGGCGAGAGCCGUCGCUCACGGCAGGCAUGCGCGGCCUGCGCCCCCUCACCGCACGAGCCCCGCCAUUUCUAUCGUACUCGUCGGCACGGUUCUCUUGGCGUGGCGCUCAGCGGCCUGCGAACCUCGAGUACGGCCCCACCACAUCCGGUUGAAAGAAUCAGGGGUCAGGCAGCACCACACCAGCCUCGGCCAGCCGUCCGCGCCUCCGCCGUGCUUGGCACGCAGGUGCUGAUGGAGAGUGCAAGAAAGAGAAAGGGGGAGUGGGUCGCAUGAGGCAGCGGCAGCGAGCCCUGUAAGCCUGGUAUUGGGGGAGCGUUGAAAGCACGGUCGAAGCAAUCUGGCACUGUGAACGCUCCCUCUCGUCUAGGCAUCGCACCAUCUGUCGCGCAUAUAUCGAUAAUUUAGGCUCAUCUCGUUCUCUCAUCUUGGCGCUUAGGCUCAAGCAGAACACGGGCGCAUACGGCCCAUAUUGUGGCGUGCACCACUAUGCCUUCCUACCUCCUUCCCCUGUGCGGGGAUGGAUCGCGAUGGUCGCCGUCUUUUGCUUCGCAUCGGUGCACCUUUUUUUUUUCGUCGUCGUCGCAUAUACCUUCUGACGUAGAGUGCACACACACACACACAAGGAGCGG